GGCCUCGUAGCUCAGUUGGCUAGAGCGUUGGCUGUACUAAAGCCUUCCCCUUGCCAGCGUGGGUUCGAAUCCAACAGAGGCCG
rfam:Schistocephalus solidus strain NST_G2 genome assembly, scaffold: SSLN_scaffold0002620